AAGUCGUAACAAGGUUUCCGUAGGUGAACCUGCGGAAGGAUCAUUAACACGUAUCCACGUAUCAACCUAUGGCGCAUAAGUUUUACCUUCUCCCUCUAUAGCAGAGAACGAAUCGAGUCGACAGCAAAGUACGAGUGGGGUCCUCACAGGCCUAUCUGCUGUUCACCACUGAGGCUUCGGCCUCGACGAUUGCAUUUCUGUGGAGGCUAAUUUCUUUACUACUUGGGUUCCCAUCUCUGCCGUGGUAGUAAGGAUACUUAUUUCUAACUUAUCUCACCCCUUUUUGCUAGUUGACUUUUAUAUGUUGUUAUCUUUGCUGAAUUAAUUUUCUGUAACGAUCUCACACGUUUAAUUACUUGAACGUUAAAAAUACAACUCUUAGCAAUGGAUAUCUAGGUUCUC
rnacentral:misc_RNA from 1 species